GACGAACGCUGGCGGCAGGCCUAACACAUGCAAGUCGAACGAGUGGCGGACGGGUGAGUAAUGUCUGGGAAACUGCCCGAUGGAGGGGGAUAACUACUGGAAACGGUAGCUAAUACCGCAUACCAUCGGAUGUGCCCAGAUGGGAUUAACUAGUAGGUGGGGUAACGGCUCACCUAGGCGACGAUCCCUAGCUGGUCUGAGAGGAUGACCAGCCACAGUGGAACUGAGACACGGUCCAGAGUCCUACGGUAGGCAGGAGUGAGGAAUAUUGCACAAAGGGCGCAAGCCUGCUGCAGCCAUGCCGCGUGUAUGAAGAAGGCCUUCGGGUGGUAAAGUACUUUCAGCGGGGAGGCGUUAAACGCAGAAGAAGCACCGGCUAACUCCGUGCCAGCAGCCGCGGUAAUAC
rnacentral:rRNA from 1 species